CUGUGAUCUGGACGGUGGUCGCCUUCUCUGCUGCUGACAAUUCAUGUCCAGAAGUGAAGAUUUUAGGAAUUGGAGACUCCGACAAACUGACCAUACUCAGAGGGUGCCCAGGCUUUCCUGGAUCUCCUGGCCAAAAAGGAGAAGUUGGGUCACCUGGAGUAAAAGGAGACAAUGGACUUCAGGG